ensembl:lncRNA
AUUAAAAUACAUUUUAAGCCCAAACUUUUUCACAAGACUAUCACAGGACAAUGUGUCAGACACCAGGCAGCAUAUAUCCACUCAUUUUAUGGAGCUUUCAGACGUCUGGUUCCUAUCACCAGCACUGUGAACCAAUCAGACUGUCUGUAGAACAGAGCGUUUCACACCAAACCACACUUUGUUUACACGUAAUUCUGAAGAAUUUUUGAAAAAUCCGUGGACUUCCCCUUCAGUCCGAAGCCAUUCGCUGACCAGACCGCACUAAAAGCUGAACUGAAGAUCCCCACGUGCUUUAUUUUGGGACUCUCCACUCACCGAGGUCCGGAUUUUAAGCAUAAAAAAAAAGUAAAACUAACAUGUAGAAAUAUCAUUAAAACAUCACCGCUCGUUAUUUUUAUUACUUUAAAGUAAAAAAAAAAGUAAAACGCUGUUGAAUUACGUAAAAAACGUUUUUGUCGUCCUAAUAAAUAAAUAAAUAAAUCCCUCUUUCCGAGGCGCUGAUUGGCUCCUCGAAACGUCCGUUCUUUUAUCCCCGCCCACACGCGUGCCCGCGCCCGCUCCCUACUCGGAUCUCCGCUGUGGAGCCCUACAGUGGACUACAGGUGGACUACACACAGAGGACUACAAAUCCCAGCGUCUCCUGCCGACCGCGGGCUCCCGAGCGCUGAAAAUCCGUCGUGAUUUUUUUUUAUUUUUUUUUUUACUUUAUUUAUUUAUUUAUUUAUCGGCUCGAAACCGACUCCGCCGACACUCGGAGAGAAAGUAUUGUUGUUUUUUUUCCCCGCGGCAUAACAGCGAAGCGAUGGCGUCGUCAAACUAACGGACGAAAGGGGCGCCGACUGCAGGAAGGCUGACGGAGUUUGCCUGUGUGAGAAGGGACCCUACUGCAAACAGCAUCCUCAAACGGAGAGCAGCCUGAAGUGCAGUGAAUGUGGUAAAAACAAGGCGAUAGUCGCCAGAUACUCUGAAGGCUACGGUACUGAGGAGGAGUGUGUGCAGUCUGAUCCUCAAGGAGAGAGUGAUGCAGAUGCAGACAUAGAGGAUACAGACAGCAGACUACAGGUGGUGGGUUCUCUUCAGCGAAUCAGCUCUCGCAAACGAAAGCGGCAGCGAAUCGCACGGCAGGACACGACAGAGAGUGAGGAUGACGGAGGGAGGAGCCACCGGACCCACCGCUGGAGCCUGAGGCUGAGCCCCCAUCGCACACACAACAGAACCAUAUUAGAGGAGAGCAUUUCUCAGGUAAGGCCGCUGGUGAUUUGUCGCUGUAACGCGUUAGAAACCCCGGCCGCCUCGGACAACAAGCCCCAAAGAGGAAGAUGGCUGCUGAAAGCUUGGCCUUUCUCUCUCUCUUUCCCUCUGUUCUUUCUCCUCAUCCUUCUUCCUGUCUCCAUAUCUAUCAUAAUUGUGUUCUUUUCAUUCCUUCUCCCACUUACUAACACCUGA